CCCUUAGAUGUUCGGGGCCGCACGCGCGCUACCCUGAAGGAAUCAGCACGUCUUUCUCCUUGUCCGAAAGGACUGGGUAACCCGCUGAACCUCCUUCGUGCUAGGGAUUGGGGCUUGUAAUUCUUCCCCAUGAACGAGGAAUUCCCAGUAAGCGCGAGUCAUAAGCUCGCGUUGAUUACGUCCCUGCCCUUUGUACACACCGCCCGUCGCUACUACCGAUUGGAUGGUUUAGUGAGAUCCUCGGAUUGGUCCCGGCGCGGCCUCUGGUCGUGCCGGAGUGCCGAAAAGAAUGUCGAACUUGAUCAUCUAGAGGAAGUAAAAGUCGUAACA
rnacentral:rRNA from 1 species